rnacentral:rRNA from 1 species
UACGUAGGGGGCAAGCGUUAUCCGGAUUUACUGGGUGUAAAGGGAGCGUAGACGGCUGUGCAAGUCUGAAGUGAAAGCCCGUGGCUCAACCGCGGAACUGCUUUGAAAACUGUAUAGCUUGAGUACUGGAGAGGCAGGCGGAAUUCCUAGUGUAGCGGUGAAAUGCGUAGAUAUUAGGAGGAACACCAGUGGCGAAGGCGGCCUGCUGGACAGAAACUGACGUUGAGGCUCGAAAGCGUGGGGAGCAAACAGG